UCUUUUUUAAUUUUCUUUGUGUUUUUUUCUACUUUCUCCAUUAUGCAUGUAUUAUGGUCUUGUUUAAAUCAAAAUUUUAGGGUGUGAUUUUCAUUGAGUUAUUUUCUAUUCUUGCAUGUGUUAGCUAGGGCUUUAGAUAGUUUGUUGAAGUUAAGGUAUCGCUCUGUUCUAUGUUAUAUAUCUCAAACUGCAAUAUGUUAUACAUUUCAUAAUGCAGAUAUUUACUAAUAAUCGAGAUGAUCCGAUUGCUACUCUUUUUAAGGGGAAAAAAAAAAAGGUUUCAUUGUCAAAUUCAUCUUUGAAGGAAACUGUUGCGUUAAUUCCUAACUGUACCAUUUUUUACUAGAUUAUAAAUACAAUGGGUUUUACUCUUUUAAGCUGCAGCUUCAGUUAGAAAUGUUGGCAAGGUAACAAUUGCCGGUUCUUCCUAAGCAAUGUAUUCACUCACUAGAUUUCAAAAAUUAACCUAACUUUACUUUUCAGUUGGAAAGAUUGUGCCUCUUCCUGUUCCAGAUCAACUAAAUUGAAUGACUGAAAAGAGAAUUUGGAAUUGUUUUAGAAUAAGAAUAGUUUUGGACAGGGGUGUAUUGAAGAAGCUCAACCUGGGCAUUUUUGUGAAGAAAGAUGAUAAAAUGGAGCAUCUAACAAUGCAUUUUCACAUACCAAGAACUACGAGAUCGAGGGUCAGUUAUUCAGGGAUUUCACAAAGACCUUGGUAGAUGCAUGUCUCCAUCCAUGUUUGGUAGAGGUAUUCAGGUUUAUUUCAUCAUAUUCCCUCUGUAAGACGGCAAGAUGCUUUAAUUGCGUGCAAAUGAUCUCACAUGUAUAAUGGAACAUUUGCAGGUGAAAGAAGACUCAACAACUAGCUUCUUUAUUACUUCUACAUGCAUGCUUCAGUGUGCACUACAUGGAAGAUGGAACAAAAGUAACUCAAAUUCCUUAAUUGUUUUAUGAGUCUGUGCAUAAAGAUGUCAUAACAAAUUAUCUUAAUCAUUUGUUUAUAGUAGACUUUCCUGGUGCAACACUAUUUCUAAGGAGUUUUGUCAGUGUCAUAUUUUUUGCAUUACUUGGAAACAAAAAUGGCAUCCUUACCAUAUAUUCUUAACUUUCUCAUAUUUUUUA